ensembl:processed_transcript
AACGCAGUUUAAAGUUACUGAGCAACGUUAUAAAACAAUAUCUUUUUUUUAUAUACGCUGUAUAAUUAGUGUUAUUAUUACAAAGUGAACUGCUGUCGUUUCACUGUUGUUGUUGUUUUUGCUUUUAGAGAUGUCACUUACUCCAGAGACGCACUCACUUGCACAGCAUUGAAUGGAAAAGGCUUUGUCCAUGUCCAGUUGAGGGGCAUCAAGAACACGCAGAUGGCCUAAACCUGUGUCAGCCUGGACAGACUGCAGUUCUGCUACUCCACGCCAAGGCUUUUGUAUGGAUGUCUGACUACUGUGUUCUCUAAAGGUUUUCUGGAAGCUCCAGUUGAGGGCAUCAAGGACAAACUGAUGGCCUAAACAAGUGUCAGCCUAGACAGACAUCUAUUGCAGUUCUGCUACACAAGACCAAACUCUCUGCUUUUGUAUGGAUGUCUGACUAGUCCGAUGUUCUUUGAAGGUAUUACUGGAGCAAAACGACAGCACUUGUUACAGUGAAAUUUGUGUUAAUUAAAGAUAGUGAUAUAUGUGUAACAGGUCCAGUACAUUUGUCAUAAAGGUUAAAUCACAGUAAGUACUGUAAAAAUAACUUGUUUGCCUUUGCCACAACAGGUCAUGGUGUGUGCUUACUGCUUGUAGUAAACGCACGCGCUGAUCUGAUGCGGGAGAGAUAUACGCAAACACAUUUGUAUUUACUGUUUUGUUUUGCCUCAAUAAAGUGUUGUUGGAGCUUGGUAUGUUCACAGUUGAAAUCACUGAAGUCACAUGGAACGUUUUGACAAUGUGUUUUGUGCCUUAUCUGGACUAUGAUCAUCUUGGGACCAUUGCUGUCUGUAGAGGAUGAGGAGCAUUUAAUUAAA